rnacentral:lncRNA from 1 species
GAGUGUGUAUUUUAGUACAAAUCUGAAUGAUCAGAAAAACUAGAAUGAUGAAACUGGAAGGCAAAAGCAUAAGUAUCAGUAACAAGAGUUAGCAACAUAGUAUUGUUUCAUUGUAAUGAUGGUGGAUAACAGUUAAUUAAAGUCGAUAACACUAGUACGAGGGCUCACUUGGAGCAUUUUGUCUAACACAAGAAUAGCACCACGGAACUCAUACAACCGACCAUUUUACUUAUGAAGUAACUGUUUAAGUUGCGGAUGAGGUAUCCAUGAAGGAGUUUAGGGGGUUUUGGGAUCAGGGUCAGAUCAAGUGGAGAAAAGAGAGAGUGGAUUAAUCUUAUGGAGGUAAUGAUGGCCUUGGUCAUUGUCUUCUACUUUCUUCAACCAUAAUCUACCAUCUCCACAAUGUUCUUACAGCUUUACAAUAAUAGUUGCAGACAGGUGUAUAUGUAGUUGCAUUAAAUAUUUCUGAAUAAACAAACUUGACUGGAGGCAUUUUCUAAAAACAAAUUUGUGACUACAGUAUUUAGCAAAAAAAUAAAAAUAAAAUUGUGAAUACAGUAAAACUGAAAACAAGUUUAAUAUUAUAUAAACAGUAGUUUCUAUAAUUUCCCUUUCUUAUAGUAGAAUAUUUUAAAACCACAUAGAGAUGAUGAACAAAAUACAUAAUAUCAAGUAUUUAUUGUAACUGUUCUUGCUGCACUAAACACUAAACACUACUUUCUGCAACUAUAAACUAACCCUACAGUAAACAAAAAUCCAAGUAGAUUAUGAUUAUAGAUAAGAAACUUACAAGAAAGUGCAAGUAAAUAAUAAUUUUUACACCGGAUGAACAGAUUCCAGUGUGUACCAUGCAGAGCAAGAAUAGAAGGUCCAGUAAUAUAUAGGUGGUAUGCAUCUCCCAAGAAACCAGCUCUUUGUUAAAGAAAAACAGAUGCUCUACCACACUUCUCGUUUUAUGAAAAGAUGCAAAUACAACACGGCCACCAGUUCGAAAUUUGAUAUUCAACAAAAAUACAUUCUAUUAUCUCUAAUAUCACAAUUGCUAUUGAUUUAAAAUUUUGUAGCACACUAUUAUGAAGUACUGGCAAUUUAAAAGUAUUUUGCACCUUAAUGCCCUGUUUGGUAACAUGGUUUUGAUUUCAAAUCCAGAAUUUGUUCAAAUCUCUUGUUUGGAAAAUCCAGGAUUUGAUUUAAAAGUAUUAUGAACUCUCUCAUUGAUGUACUCAAGGCAUGAACUUCUUCUGCAAAGCAAGGAGCGCGGGGUCCUGCUCUUUCGAUUGCAGCAAAUCGAAGAGCAUGGAGGUGGUAGAGGCAUCUGCUUUGAAACCAUGAGCAACCAUCUCAUCUAUAAGCACACAACCUCCAUCAUACAUCUUAUUCUUAAAGCAGCCGCGGAUAAGAGUGUUGUAGGUAACUUCAUCAGGCAAGCAAUUGUGCUCUUCCAUUUCCAAAAGUAUUUUAUAUGCUUCAUCCAGCAACCCUUCUUGACAAAAUCCUUGUAUCAUACUGUUGUAGGAUAUGACACUAGGCCGUAAACCCUUUAAAAGAAUAUCUUGAAAAAGGUUUCUUGCUUCAUCAACUUUGCCGUCCUUGAACAAUCCAUGAAUCAGAAUGUUAUAAACGCAUAUGUCAGGAACUAGGCCACAUGACUCCAUAUUGUGAAACAUGGUCAUUGCUUCACCAACAAGUCCAUUCCAGCAAAGUCCACGCAACAAGAUCCUGCAUGUCACUAUAUUCAGUUUGACACCUUGGUUUAACAUCUUCUUAUAAAACCUAUGUGCUUCAUCAAGCCUACGCGUACGAAAUAACCCAUCCAGAAUAGUACUGUACGUUUCAACUGUAGGUGUUAAACCUUUCAGGGUCAUUUCUUCUAGGAGAUGUAUGGCUGUGUCUACUUUCAUCUUCUUACAGUAACCAUUGAUUAAUAUGGUAUAGGUAUGAGCAUCCGGGGAAAUCCCAUUAUUUCUCAUGGUUUUAAGCAACGCUAACGCUUUAUCCAAUUCUCCCCGCAAGCAGUAUCCAUCCAUGAGUGCACUAUACGUGACUACGUCAGGAUUUUGGCCUCUUCGAAUCAUCAACUCUAUCAGAUACUCAGCAUCUCUGACCUUUCCAUCUCUCGCAUGUGCAUCAACCAAUAUAUUGUAGGUAUGCUUAUCUGGGGAAAUUUUGUGUCUGUCCAUAUCUUUUAACAAUUGUGUUAUAUCAUCCCAUCGGUUAAGGUUGCACAUACCAUGAAUUAAUGAGCUGUAGGUUACAACAUCUGGUUGAAUUCCUUUGUCACUCAUUUCGGCAAGAAGGCUCAAAGCAUCAUCAACUAAUCUGUCUUUGGACAAACUAUCAAUAACAGUGCUAUAAUUUACUACGUUCGGCAUACAACCUUUCUUCUCCAUGUAUCUAAGCAACAUCAUAGCCUGGGAAGUGUUGCCUGUUUUGCACUGGCCAUUAAUAAUGGUGUUAAAGAUAACUGCAUUGGGCUCAACUUGAUUUUGCUUGAGAAGGUUCUUGAAGAGAAGCUCAGCCUCAAGAAACUUGUCCUGGGAAAUGAGUCCCCUGAGAAGAGUUGUGUAGGUAACAACAUCCGGGACAAAACCUCGCUUAAAGAUGGCAGCCAACAGCGUAAAGCCAUAAUCAACUCGUUUCAAAUGACAACAACAGUUGAUGACAAUACUAUAAGUAAUUAUAUUAACAGGAAGGCUAAAAGAGCACAUCUUUGAAAAGACAGAGACAGCCACGGAGUAAUGUUUCAUCUUGACCAGGGCGGCCAAGAGUUGAGUAAAGUCGAUAACACUAGGCAGAGGUUUCAUACGGAGCAUUUUAUUGAACACAACAAGAGCAUCAUCAGGCUUAUCAAAACCAACUCUAGAUUUCUCCAACAAUAAUUGUUGAAAUUCCGAAAGAUGAUUGGGUAUGUGAUUAGGGUUAGGGCAAGUGGGAUAUUGAGAAAGUGAAUGCAAUCGAAGCAAUGCAAUAACACGACAACAAGGAGUCGUAGUAGUAGUAGUAAUACCUAGUCUUGAGAAUGGAAGAAGAGUGUUUGAAUUGAAGCAGGUGGUGAAAGCCCUCCUCAUCAUCGUCUUCAUCGUUUUGCGCUUGCCCUUUUUUUUUAGAAACUCUGCUCCAGUGUUGUUUCUUUAAAGGGGAGUGCUGCUUCUAAAGCAACAUAUCCUCUGCACUUUGAAUUGCUGGUAAUGCAUUUAAAAUUUAUGAUUCUCUAAUUCAAAAGAAUAUGUAAAUUUCGACAUCUAUACAUUUUGAUAAUUAUUUUAUAAGUUAAGUGAGAAAUUUACAAUUUUUAAAUUUAUUAAAUGUAAAUAAAAAUUUGACAAGAGUUAAAUUUUAACAAACAAGAUAAGUCUAAAAAAGAGUUUUUUUCUUCCUCUCUCUCCCUCUCAAACCCUAGCCUC